rnacentral:rRNA from 1 species
UCGAACGGGGUGAGGGGGCAACUCCUCAUUCAGUGGCGAACGGGUGAGUAAUGCAUCGGAACGUAUCCCGUAGUGGGGGAUAACGCCGCGAAAGCGGCGCUAAUACCGCAUACGCUCUACGGAGGAAAGCAGGGGACCUGAGAGGGCCUUGUGCUAGGGGGGCGGCCGAUGUCCGAUUAGCUAGUUGGUGGGGUAAUGGCCUACCAAGGCUUCGAUCGGUAGCUGGUCUGAGAGGAUGAUCAGCCACACUGGGACUGAGACACGGCCCAGACUCCUACGGGAGGCAGCAGUGGGGAAUUUUGGACAAUGGGGGCAACCCUGAUCCAGCCAUGCCGCGUGCGGGAAGAAGGCCUUCGGGUUGUAAACCGCUUUUAGCCGGGAAGAAAAGGCGCGGGUUAAUACCCUGUGUUUUUGACGGUACCGGCGGAAUAAGCACCGGCUAACUACGUGCCAGCAGCCGCGGUAAUACGUAGGGUGCGAGCGUUAAUCGGAAUUACUGGGCGUAAAGCGUGCGCAGGCGGUUCGUUGUGUCGGCGGUGAAAGCCCCGGGCUUAACCUGGGAAUGGCCGUUGAAACUGGCGAACUGGAGUGUGGCAGAGGGGGGUGGAAUUCCGCGUGUAGCAGUGAAAUGCGUAGAGAUGCGGAGGAACACCGAUGGCGAAGGCAGCCCCCUGGGCUAACACUGACGCUCAGGCACGAAAGCGUGGGGAGCAACCAGGAUUAGAUACCCUGGUAGUCCACGCCCUAAACGAUGUCGACUGGGUGUUGGGGAAGCGAU